rnacentral:sRNA from 1 species
GUCGCUGAAACAACGGCGACCGGGUUUGGCGACCCGAGAAUCAAACGGCGGACGACCGCCUCUGUGCGGUUUUUUU